GAGAGAGGAGAGAGGAGAGGAGAGAGAGGCUUUGGGCAUUCCCUCACAUUCCACUUGACAGAUCUGCGCGGUGAAGCUGCUGCUCCUGUAGUGAGUGGAAGAAACGCAUAUUCUCCUCAGCGCUCGAGGAGGAUUCAUCACGAGAGCACAAUGCAGGAGGAUGGCAAGGUGGUGGAUGGCAGUCUUCUGGGUGAUGCCAAUGGGGUGGAGCCUGGCACGGGUCGACAGAAAGAGAGCGGCAAAUGGCAGAGGCCUCGAUUCACGCGGAAAGCCCUCAUGAGGUGCUGCCUGGUCAAAUGGAUCAUCGCCAGCACCGGACCCAAAGAGCAAGGUGGCAUCUGACAGAGACCAAGUCAAAAUGAUGCUAUGAUGUUCAGAACGCUCAGCUGGUGCCGUCUAGUGGUUACAUGGGGAAACAAACUGGUCUGACGCAUUAGCUCGUGUGAAUCAGACGCAUUUAGUCAUGUUACGUGCACAAUAUUAGAGGACAAAAUGCUUUUAUGAAUGUUUAUACAUUUUUAAUGAACUGAUUUUCAACCAAGCAGCUGCGAUGUGUACAUAAUAAGUAUUUGUCAUGAUGCUGUAUUGAUUUAAUUGUUUUUUUCGCUCUCGAGAUUGCUGAAAGAGCUCAGAGAAUAACCCAUAAGAGAGCUGAGAGAGACACUGAAACAGUUUGUGGCACCAUUAAAAGAAAGUGGUAUUCUAGGCAGGAUCAGGAAAUCAGAGAUUGGCUUGCAAAUGGGGAAAUUAGAGAGGGCUAUAGGAAGAGUGAAAGAAGAGACAAAGGAUAAGAAGUGUAUCAGAUUUAAGCUAGUGGCCCUAUAUAUUUACAAUGCUUAAACCACGCCUUAAAAAUGUAUAAAUGUUAAUUUAUCAGAUUCAAUUUUUAUUCUUUAAAGCUAUUUAAAAUCUUAAUAUUGCCUAUACUAUGUAAUGAAUGAUGAACAUUUAUGGCUGGGGUUUAAAAUUGAGGGUCUGGGG